rnacentral:rRNA from 1 species
UACGGAGUGUGCAAGCGUUACUCGGAAUCACUGGGCAUAAAGCGCGCGUAGGCGGGCUUUCAAGUCGGUUGUGAAAUCCCUCAGCUCAACUGAGGAACUGCAUCCGAUACUGUUUGUCUUGAGGACGAGAGGGGAGAGUGGAACUUCUGGUGGAGCGGUGAAAUGCGUAGAUAUCAGAAGGAACGCCGGUGGCGAAGGCGGCUCUCUGGGACGGUACUGACGCUGAGACGCGAAAGCGUGGGGAGCGAACAGG